rnacentral:rRNA from 1 species
GGGUUGUGAGGUUAAGCGACUAAGCGUACACGGUGGAUGCCCUGGCAGUCAGAGGCGAUGAAGGGCGUGCUAAUCUGCGAUAAGCGCCGGUAAGGUGAUAUGAACCGUUAUAACCGGCGAUACCCGAAUGGGGAAACCCAGUGUGAUUCGUCACACUAUCAUUAACUGAAUCCAUAGGUUAAUGAGGCGAACCGGGGGAACUGAAACAUCUAAGUACCCCGAGGAAAAGAAAUCAACCGAGAUUCCCCCAGUAGCGGCGAGCGAACGGGGAGGAGCCCAGAGCCUGAAUCAGCAUGUGUGUUAGUGGAAGCGUCUGGAAAGGCGCGCGAUACAGGGUGACAGCCCCGUACACAAAAGCGCAUAUGCUGUGAGCUCGAUGAGUAGGGCGGGACACGUGGUAUCCUGUCUGAAUAUGGGGGGACCAUCCUCCAAGGCUAAAUACUCCUGACUGACCGAUAGUGAACCAGUACCGUGAGGGAAAGGCGAAAAGAACCCCGGCGAGGGGAGUGAAAAAGAACCUGAAACCGUGUACGUACAAGCAGUGGGAGCCCCACCACUAAGCCAGUGGUGAACUCCACAUACGCAUCCUUUGCUGAGGAGACGGUUAACGGAGCGAAAGCGACGUUCAACCUCAAAAGAAGCAGAGGGGGCUUAGUGGUGGGGUGACUGCGUACCUUUUGUAUAAUGGGUCAGCGACUUAUAUUCUGUAGCAAGGUUAACUGUAUAGGGGAGCCGGAGGGAAACCGAGUCUUAACCGGGCGUUAAGUUGCAGGGUAUAGACCCGAAACCCGGUGAUCUAGCCAUGGGCAGGUUGAAGGUUGGGUAACACUAACUGGAGGACCGAACCGACUAAUGUUGAAAAAUUAGCGGAUGACCUGUGGCUGGGGGUGAAAGGCCAAUCAAACCGGGAGAUAGCUGGUUCUCCCCGAAAGCUAUUUAGGUAGCGCCUCGUGAAUUCAUCUCCGGGGGUAGAGCACUGUUUCGGCUAG